rnacentral:sRNA from 1 species
UCCCUAACCUCCCCCAGCCUAUCCACGCAGGAACGCAGUCCGCCGAGGAUCGAGCGCAGCGAGCACCGCAGAGCGAGACGGGAGUGGAUGCGUGGAUAGGCGGAAGGAAUAAUUGAAUAUUCAAUUUCCCCCGGUCAGGGGUCAGGUUACGGGUCAUCCCUUGCGGGCCUCGCUGCGCUCGCUCCUCGGGCGACCACUUCACCUGACCCCUUCCCUGGAUGGAGAAGGGGGAGGGUGAGCGCUAGUGGUUGCCCU